rnacentral:rRNA from 1 species
AUUGAACGCUGGCGGCAUGCCUUACACAUGCAAGUCGAACGGCAGCACGGGAGCAAUCCUGGUGGCGAGUGGCGAACGGGUGAGUAAUAUAUCGGAACGUGCCCAGUCGUGGGGGAUAACGUAGCGAAAGCUACGCUAAUACCGCAUACGAUCUAUGGAUGAAAGCGGGGGGAUCGCAAGACCUCGCGCGAUUGGAGCGGCCGAUAUCAGAUUAGGUAGUUGGUGAGGUAAAGGCUCGCCAAGCCGACGAUCUGUAGCUGGUCUGAGAGGACGACCAGCCACACUGGGACUGAGACACGGCCCAGACUCCUACGGGAGGCAGCAGUGGGGAAUUUUUGGGACAAUGGGCGCAAGCCUGAUCCAGCAAUGCCGCGUGCAGGAUGAAGGCC